rnacentral:rRNA from 1 species
AACGAACGCUGGCGGCAUGCCUAACACAUGCAAGUCGAACGAGACCUUCGGGUCUAGUGGCGCACGGGUGCGUAACGCGUGGGAACCUGCCCUUAGGUUCGGAAUAACUCCCCGAAAGGGGUGCUAAUUCCGGAUAAUGUCUUCGGACCAAAGAUUUAUCGCCUUUGGAUGGGCCCGCGUUGGAUUAGCUAGUUGGUAGGGUAAAAGCCUACCAAGGCGACGAUCCAUAGCUGGUCUGAGAGGAUGGUCAGCCACACUGGGACUGAGACACGGCCCAGACUCCUACGGGAGGCAGCAGUGGGGAAUAUUGGACAAUGGGCGAAAGCCUGAUCCAGCAAUGCCGCGUGAGUGAUGAAGGCCUUAGGGUUGUAAAGCUCUUUUACCCGGGAUGAUAAUGACAGUACCGGGAGAAUAAGCUCCGGCUAACUCCGUG